UGCAUGCUUUUACAGUAUGGAAAUUGGUGAUUUAUAAUAACUUGGCAAAUCGCAAAGUGAAAACAGGCGAUAAAUCAUUCAAGUUUCUGACCUAUCAGCUUUCGACGGUAUGGUAUUGGCUUACCGUGGCAGUGACGGUUAACGGGGGAUUAGGGUUCGAUUCCGGAGAGGGAGCCUGAGAAACGGCUACCACAUCUAAGGAAGGCAGCAGGCGCGCAAAUUACCCAAUUCUAACAGUUUGAGAGAGGUAGUAACAAGAAAUAACAAUACAAGGCAAUUAAAAUGCUUUGUAAUUGGAAUGAUAGAAAUUUAAACCCUUUUUAAAGUAUCAAUUGGAGGGCAAGUCUGGUGCCAGCAGCCGCGGUAAUUCCAGCUCCAAUAGCGUAUAUUAAAAUUGUUGCAGUUAAAAAGCUCGUAGUUGAAGUUCUGCUAAAAGUAACCGGUCUGCUUUUAAUAAAAGUGGUAUCUUGGUGUGUAUUUAGCAAUGAUGUCCUUUGAAGUGUUUUUUACUUUAUUGUAAUAAAGCAUAUUCAGGACUUUUACUUUGAGAAAAUUAGAGUGUUU
rnacentral:rRNA from 1 species